rnacentral:misc_RNA from 1 species
GAUUAAGAACGCAGCUAAAUGCGAUACUUGGUGUGAAUUGCAGAAUCCCGUGAACCAUCGAGUCUUUGAACGCAAGUUGCGCCCGAAGCCAUUAGGCCGAGGGCACGCCUGCCUGGGCGUCACACGUCGUUGCCCCCCCAUCUACUCCUUCGGGAUUGCGGGGGGCGGAUGAUGGCCUCCCGUGCGCCUCGUCGCGCGGUUGGCAUAAAUGCCAAGUCCUCGGCGACGCACGCCACGACAAUCGGUGGUUGCGAAACCUCGGUUGCCCGUCGUGUGCGGUCGUCGCGCAUCGAGGGCUCGAAAAAAUUGUCGGGCUCCGGCUCGGCUUUCAACGCGACCCCAGGUCAGGCGGGGUUACCCGCUGAAUUUAAGCAUAUCAAUAAGCGGAGGA